AAAUAGUACCCGGGUAGUCCACGCCGUAAACGAUGUCGACUUGGAGGUUGUUCCCUUGAGGAGUGGCUUCCGGAGCUAACGCGUUAAGUCGACCGCCUGGGGAGUACGGCCGCAAGGUUAAAACUCAAAUGAAUUGACGGGGGCCCGCACAAGCGGUGGAGCAUGUGGUUUAAUUCGAUGCAACGCGAAGAACCUUACCUACUCUUGACAUCCAGAGAACUUAGCAGAGAUGCUUUGGUGCCUUCGGGAACUCUGAGACAGGUGCUGCAUGGCUGUCGUCAGCUCGUGUUGUGAAAUGUUGGGUUAAGUCCCGCAACGAGCGCAGCCCUUAUCCUUUGUUGCCAGCGGUUCGGCCGGGAACUCAAAGGAGACUGCCAGUGAUAAACUGGAGGAAGGUGGGGAUGACGUCAAGUCAUCAUGGCCCUUACGAGUAGGGCUACACACGUGCUACAAUGGCGUAUACAAAGAGAAGCGACCUCGCGAGAGCAAGCGGACCUCAUAAAGUACGUCGUAGUCCGGAUUGGAGUCUGCAACUCGA
rnacentral:rRNA from 1 species